AGUGAACGCUGGCGGUAGGCCUAACACAUGCAAGUCGAACGGCAGCACAGUAAGAGCUUGCUCUUACGGGUGGCGAGUGGCGGACGGGUGAGGAAUACAUCGGAAUCUACUUUUUCGUGGGGGAUAACGUAGGGAAACUUACGCUAAUACCGCAUACGACCUACGUGUGAAAGCAGGGGAUCUUCGGACCUUGCGCGAUUGAAUGAGCCGAUGUCGGAUUAGCUAGUUGGCGGGGUAAAGGCCCACCAAGGCGACGAUCCGUAGCUGGUCUGAGAGGAUGAUCAGCCACACUGGAACUGAGACACGGUCCAGACUCCUACGGGAGGCAGCAGUGGGGAAUAUUGGACAAUGGGCGCAAGCCUGAUCCAGCCAUACCGCGUGGGUGAAGAAGGCCUUCGGGUUGUAAAGCCCUUUUGUUGGGAAAGAAAAGCAGCAGGUUAAUACCCCGCUGUUCUGACGGUACCCAAAGAAUAAGCACCGGCCAACUUCGUG
rnacentral:rRNA from 1 species